rnacentral:rRNA from 1 species
UACGUAGGGUGCAAGCGUUGUCCGGAAUUAUUGGGCGUAAAGAGCUCGUAGGCGGUUUGUUGCGUCGGCUGUGAAAUCCCCGAGGCUCAACCUCGGGUCUGCAGUCGAUACGAGCAAACUAGAGUGUUGCAGGGGGAGACUGGAAUUCCUGGUGUAGCGGUGAAAUGCGCAGAUAUCAGGAGGAACACCGGUGGCGAAGGCGGGUCUCUGGGCAACAACUGACGCUGGAGGAGCGAAAGCGUCGGGGAGCGAACAG